CAAACUUAUUAUUAGAGAACGCGUCCUUCACUCUCAUUCCAUCAUAUCUCUCUAUUCUUUUUUAUUUGAAGUCGUAUUAAGGUUUGGCUUCGGAUAUUGAUGGAAAUAGACAGAUUAAUUAAAAGCAUAGUCAAGAAGAAAAAAAAAAAAGAAGAAGAGAUGAAGCAAGCAAGUGGUGGAGUUGACUGGUAAAAGUCUCUUUCACGUGCUCUUGAAAAGCGCGUGCUAGUUGUGUCGUGUGUGUAUGGUGUGGUGGAUCAUACACACGCGUGUUUAUGGGUUACCGCUGUGACCAGUCAGAUUCUGAGUUAAAUUUGUCUAGAAUAAGUAAGUAGUAGUUGUGGCUAUCAAUAAUCUCCACCCAAAUUUACCAUUUCACAAUUCACCACUACAAAUAAGAACAUAUGCUCCCUUAAUCACACCAAUACAUUUUCAAAACGAGUAGCUAAUAUACAAAUCCUUUUUUUUAACUGAUUUCCUCCAUGUGUCACUACGAAAAAAGAAAAACGAAGACUAGAGUAUAACUAGUAGUAGUAGAAUAGUCAGCAGAAGAGCGACAAGGCUCACCGUUGAAUGUUUUGGUUUCAACUUUUUCAACUUUUGACCUAUCUAUGUUUAUGUAGAAAAACACAAAGAAAAGUAUAUAAAAAAUUAAAGUAAAGAAGAAGAAGGACUAAAAUAUAAAGAGAGAAAGAGAAAGAGAAAGAGGAAGAAAGAGCGCACCUUCCUUCCUUCACUCUCUUCAUCGCACCUUUUAAAAGAAUCCUCCUCACACUCCAUUCUUUCUUAAACCCAUUUCCCCCACUUGUUUCUCCAUUAACAAACAAAAAAGCUUCCAGCUUUCUUCUCAAUUUCAUUCCAGGUUUGUGUCUUUACCUCUUCUGUGGAAUCUCCAGUUUUUGUUUUUGUUUUUGUUUAUGUGUCUUAUUCUGUUACCAAGUCUUGCUAUUUCUUAGGAAAGUUCAAUACUCGGUCUGGUCUCUAGCUAGUUUCUUGUAUUGAAAUUUUCAACGGAGAAGAGUAGAAACAGUCGUUGGCUUGUCUUAGUAGAAAAGUAGUUUCCUUUUUUUUAAAAUAUAUAUCGGCUAUAAUUGCGGUAUCUAAUUCUGCAUAAGAAGAGAGAAUCUUAUGAUUUAUUC
rnacentral:lncRNA from 1 species